rnacentral:rRNA from 1 species
GAUGAACGCUGGCGGCGUGCCUAAUACAUGCAAGUCGAGCGAAUGGAUUAAGAGCUUGCUCUUAUGAAGUUAGCGGCGGACGGGUGAGUAACACGUGGGUAACCUGCCCAUAAGACUGGGAUAACUCCGGGAAACCGGGGCUAAUACCGGAUAACAUUUUGGACCGCAUGGUUCGAAAUUGAAAGGCGGCUUCGGCUGUCACUUAUGGAUGGACCCGCGUCGCAUUAGCUAGUUGGUGAGGUAACGGCUCACCAAGGCAACGAUGCGUAGCCGACCUGAGAGGGUGAUCGGCCACACUGGGACUGAGACACGGCCCAGACUCCUACGGGAGGCAGAAGUAGGGAAUCUUCGGCAAUGGGCGAAAGCCUGACCGAGCAACGCCGCGUGAGCGAUGAAGGCCUUCGGGUCGUAAAGCUCUGUUGUUAGGGAAGAACACGUACGAGAGUAACUGCUCGUACCUUGACGGUACCUAACCAGAAAGCCACGGCUAACUUCGUGCCAGCCGCCGCCGUA